rnacentral:lncRNA from 1 species
AACCCACGAACAAGAAACUACAGACAUAAAUAAAGAAUGCUCCCGUAAUAUUACCGACGCACUCCCAUCCCCUAACCCUCUACCCUAAUCCGCAUCCUUCAAUCCUUCCUAUUAAGGGUCAUGUCCACCGUAAGUUGUAACUGCUCCAUAUCAUGCCUAAUCAUUUCCCUUCAAUAUUUCUUCGGCCUACCUCUACCCCGCUUAAAAUCAUCCAUAACGAGUGUCUCACACCUCCGCACUGGAGCACCGAAAUCCUUCUUCAUCACGUGCCCAAACCAACAUAACCUCACUUUUCGCAUCUUGUCCUCCAUCGAAGUAGCUCUCACCUUUUGAAAGGAUAGAGUGUACGCAAACCACACUACUAACUCAGGCGAAAUAGAGAAGCUGUUUCUGAUAGACCCCUUACUAUAUGGAAAUAAAAAAUAUAAAUGCAUAUAAACUUGUACAUGCAAAAUAAACUAAUAACGCUAACCACAAGAUACUACUAAAAACUAUAUAUCUGAAAGCAUAGACAACACUCAACCCACGAACAAGAAACUACAGACAUAAAUAAAGAAUACUCCCGUAAUAUUACUGACGCACUCCCACCCCCUAACCCUCUACCCUAAUCCGCAUCCUUCAAUCCUUCCUAUUAAGGGUCAUGUCCACCGUAAAUUGUAACUGCUCCAUAUCAUGCCUAAUCAUUUUCUUUCAAUAUUUCUUCGGCCUACCUCUACCCCGCUUAAAAUCAUCCAUAACCAGUGUCUCACACCUCCGCACUGGAGCACCGAAAUCCUUCUUCAUCACGUGCCCGAACCAACAUAACUUCACUUUUCGCAUCUUGUCCUCCAUCGAAGUAGCUCUCACCUUUUGCAAAUAAUCUGAUUCCUCACCCUAUCUUUCAUGGUAUGACCACACAGUAACUUUAAUUUAAC